GAUUAUAUGGUGCCUUAUGCUAGUGGUAGGGGACCCACAGAGCCAGUGUGUGCGGCUGAGGUGCUCAGACUGGCAGGUGAAAUGACUUCAUUAGUGCCCUGGCUCCUGGUGGGAUGAGAGUGGAAACCCAGCCUUCUGAGUUGAAGAACUGGAACAAACAUCAGCCCUGACACAUUGAUGUCAGUUUACCUUUGUGAGAAACAGGAACGAAAUGUGAACAUCUAUUUCAGGGGGAAGAAAAUAGGGCUGUUUUGAGGAGAUGUGGCUGAGAAAACAGAAAAAGAGAAUUACAGGCCUGAAAUCCCAGCACUCUGGGAGGCUGAGGCCCCUGGCGCUGGUUCUCUCUGGAGGUUGAGUUUCCGUGGGGAGAGAAGAGUGCCCAGCGUGACCACCGUUGGCUGACUUCCCAUGCCUUAUUCCUUGUUUCCCCCGCUGGGGCCCAGCCCACCAGCCCCGCAGUGCAUGAAGCCACUUAUCACCACGGUUCCCAGAGAGGACGGGCUGGCCCAAGUCUGCAUUGUCACCUGCUCUGGGGAAAACAAAGCCCUCUCCCCCGCCCUCCCCGCAGCAUGCUGGGCACAGGGCCAGCCCGUUCUAUGUUUUCAGUAAAUUUUCAAACAUGCUGG
rnacentral:lncRNA from 1 species